rnacentral:rRNA from 1 species
GUUUGAUCAUGGCUCAGAAUCAACGCUGGCGGCGUGCCUCAGACAUGCAAGUCGAACGAUUAAAGCUCUCUUCGGAGAGUGCAUAGAGUGGCGCACGGGUGAGUAACACGUAAGUAAUCUACCUUCGAGUGGGGAAUAACGUCCGGAAACGGGCGCUAAUACCGCAUAAUGCAGCGGCAUCGCAAGAUGACAGUUGUUAAAGGAGCAAUCCGCUUGAAGAGGAGCUUGCGGCAGAUUAGCUAGUUGGUAGGGUAAUGGCCUACCAAGGCUACGAUCUGUAACCGGUCUUAGAGGACGGUCGGUCACACUGACACUGAAUAACGGGUCAGACUCUUACGGGAGGCAGCAGUCGGGAAUUUUGGGCAAUGGGGGAAACCCUGACCCAGCAACGCCGCGUGAAGGAUGAAGUAUUUCGGUAUGUAAACUUCGAAAGAAUAGGAAGAAUUAAUGACGGUACUAUUUAUAAGGUCCGGCUAACUACGUG